rnacentral:rRNA from 1 species
GGUUAAGCGACUAAGCGUACACGGUGGAUGCCCUGGCAGUCAGAGGCGAUGAAGGACGUGCUAAUCUGCGAUAAGCGUCGGUAAGGUGAUAUGAACCGUUAUAACCGGCGAUUUCCGAAUGGGGAAACCCAGUGUGUUUCGACACACUAUCAUUACGUGAAUACAUAGCGUAAUGAAGCGAACCGGGGGAACUGAAACAUCUAAGUACCCCGAGGAAAAGAAAUCAACCGAGAUUCCCCCAGUAGCGGCGAGCGAACGGGGAGCAGCCCAGAGUCUGAAUCAGCUUGUGUGUUAGUGGAACGGUCUGGAAAGUCCGACGGUACAGGGUGAUAGUCCCGUACACCAAAAUGCACAGGUUGUGAACUCGAAGAGUAGGGCGGGACACGUGGUAUCCUGUCUGAAUAUGGGGGGACCAUCCUCCAAGGCUAAAUACUCCUGACUGACCGAUAGUGAACCAGUACCGUGAGGGAAAGGCGAAAAGAACCCCGGCGAGGGGAGUGAAAAAGAACCUGAAACCGUGUACGUACAAGCAGUGGGAGCCUCUUUAUGGGGUGACUGCGUACCUUUUGUAUAAUGGGUCAGCGACUUAUAUUCUGUAGCAAGGUUAACCGUAUAGGGGAGCCGAAGGGAAACCGAGUCUUAACUGGGCGUUAAGUUGCAGGGUAUAGACCCGAAACCCGGUGAUCUAGCCAUGGGCAGGUUGAAGGUUGGGUAACACUAACUGGAGGACCGAACCGACUAAUGUUGAAAAAUUAGCGGAUGACUUGUGGCUGGGGGUGAAAGGCCAAUCAAACCGGGAGAUAGCUGGUUCUCCCCGAAAGCUAUUUAGGUAGCGCCUCGUGAAUUCAUCUUCGGGGGUAGAGCACUGUUUCGGCUAGGGGGUCAUCCCGACUUACCAACCCGAUGCAAACUGCGAAUACCGAAGAAUGUUAUCACGGGAGACACACGGCGGGUGCUAACGUCCGUCGUGAAGAGGGAAACAACCCAGACCGCCAGCUAAGGUCCCAAAGUCAUGGUUAAGUGGGAAACGAUGUGGGAAGGCACAGACAGCCAGGAUGUUGGCUUAGAAGCAGCCAUCAUUUAAAGAAAGCGUAAUAGCUCACUGGUCGAGUCGGCCUGCGCGGAAGAUGUAACGGGGCUAAACCAUGCACCGAAGCUGCGGCAGCGACACUAUGUGUUGUUGGGUAGGGGAGCGUUCUGUAAGCCGUUGAAGGUGUAUCGUGAGGUAUGCUGGAGGUAUCAGAAGUGCGAAUGCUGACAUAAGUAACGAUAAUGCGGGUGAAAAACCCGCACGCCGGAAGACCAAGGGUUCCUGUCCAACGUUAAUCGGGGCAGGGUGAGUCGACCCCUAAGGCGAGGCCGAAAGGCGUAGUCGAUGGGAAACAGGUUAAUAUUCCUGUACUUGGUGUUACUGCGAAGGGGGGACGGAGAAGGCUAUGUUAGCCGGGCGACGGUUGUCCCGGUUUAAGCAUGUAGGCGGAGGUUCCAGGUAAAUCCGGUACCUUUUAACGCUGAGGUGUGAUGACGAGGCACUACGGUGCUGAAGUAACAAAUGCCCUGCUUCCAGGAAAAGCCUCUAAGCAUCAGGUAACACGAAAUCGUACCCCAAACCGACACAGGUGGUCAGGUAGAGAAUACCAAGGCGCUUGAGAGAACUCGGGUGAAGGAACUAGGCAAAAUGGUGCCGUAACUUCGGGAGAAGGCACGCUGAUAUGUAGGUGAAGUGAUUUACUCAUGGAGCUGAAAUCAGUCGAAGAUACCAGCUGGCUGCAACUGUUUAUUAAAAACACAGCACUGUGCAAACACGAAAGUGGACGUAUACGGUGUGACGCCUGCCCGGUGCCGGAAGGUUAAUUGAUGGGGUUAUCCGUAAGGAGAAGCUCUUGAUCGAAGCCCCGGUAAACGGCGGCCGUAACUAUAACGGUCCUAAGGUAGCGAAAUUCCUUGUCGGGUAAGUUCCGACCUGCACGAAUGGCGUAAUGAUGGCCAGGCUGUCUCCACCCGAGACUCAGUGAAAUUGAACUCGCUGUGAAGAUGCAGUGUACCCGCGGCAAGACGGAAAGACCCCGUGAACCUUUACUAUAGCUUGACACUGAACACUGGUCCUUGAUGUGUAGGAUAGGUGGGAGGCUUUGAAGUGUGGACGCCAGUCUGCAUGGAGCCAUCCUUGAAAUACCACCCUUUAAUGGCUGGUGUUCUAACGUGGACCCGUAAUCCGGGUUGCGGACAGUGUCUGGUGGGUAGUUUGACUGGGGCGGUCUCCUCCUAAAGAGUAACGGAGGAGCACGAAGGUUAGCUAAUCCUGGUCGGACAUCAGGAGGUUAGUGCAAAGGCAUAAGCUAGCUUGACUGCGAGAGUGACGGCUCGAGCAGGUGCGAAAGCAGGUCUUAGUGAUCCGGUGGUUCUGAAUGGAAGGGCCAUCGCUCAACGGAUAAAAGGUACUCCGGGGAUAACAGGCUGAUACCGCCCAAGAGUUCAUAUCGACGGCGGUGUUUGGCACCUCGAUGUCGGCUCAUCACAUCCUGGGGCUGAAGUAGGUCCCAAGGGUAUGGCUGUUCGCCAUUUAAAGUGGUACGCGAGCUGGGUUUAGAACGUCGUGAGACAGUUCGGUCCCUAUCUGCCGUGGGCGCUGGAGAAUUGAGGGGGGCUGCUCCUAGUACGAGAGGACCGGAGUGGACGCAUCACUGGUGUUCGGGUUGUCAUGCCAAUGGCAUUGCCCGGUAGCUAAAUGCGGAAGAGAUAAGUGCUGAAAGCAUCUAAGCACGAAACUUGCCCCGAGAUGAGUUCUCCCUGAGACUAUAAGUCUCCUGAAGGAACGUUGAAGACGACGACGUUGAUAGGUCGGGUGUGUAAGUGUAGCGAUACAUUGAGCUAACCGAUACUAAUGAACCGUGAGGCUUAACCUU